UAUUGGACAAUGGGCGAAAGCCUGAUCCAGCAAUGCCGCGUGAGUGAUGAAGGCCCUAGGGUUGUAAAGCUCUUUUACCCGGGAAGAUAAUGACUGUACCGGGAGAAUAAGCCCCGGCUAACUCCGUGCCAGCAGCCGCGGUAAUACGGAGGGGGCUAGCGUUGUUCGGAAUUACUGGGCGUAAAGCGCGCGUAGGCGGCUUUGUAAGUCAGAGGUGAAAGCCUGGAGCUCAACUCCAGAACUGCCUUUGAGACUGCAUCGCUUGAAUCCAGGAGAGGUCAGUGGAAUUCCGAGUGUAGAGGUGAAAUUCGUAGAUAUUCGGAAGAACACCAGUGGCGAAGGCGGCUGACUGGACUGGUAUGACGCUGAGUGCGAA
rnacentral:rRNA from 1 species